rnacentral:rRNA from 1 species
UGGGGAAUCUUGCACAAUGGAGGAAACUCUGAUGCAGCGACGCCGCGUGAGCGAAGAAGCCUUUCGGGGUGUAAAGCUCUUACGCCAGGGACGAUAAUGACGGUACCUGGAGAAGCAGCUGCGGCUAACUACGUGCCAGCAGCCGCGGUAAUACGUAGGCAACAAGCGUUGUUCGGAAUUACUGGGCGUAAAGGGUGCGUAGGCGGCGCUCUAAGUUUGGUGUGAAAUCUCCCGGCUUAACUGGGAGGGUGCACUGAAAACUGGGGCGCUCGAGUAUGGGAGAGGAAAGCGGAAUUCCUGGUGUAGCGGUGAAAUGCGUAGAGAUCAGGAGGAACACCUGCGGUGCAGACGGCUUUCUGGACCAUCACUGACGCUGAGGCACGAAAGCGUGGGUAGCAAACA